ACGCUCGACACCGAGGCAGCAGUAGGGAAUCUUCCACAAUGGGCGCAAGCCUGAUGGAGCAACACCGCGUGAGUGAAGAAGGGUUUCGGCUCGUAAAGCUCUGUUGUUGGAGAAGAACGUGCGUGAGAGUAACUGUUCACGCAGUGACGGUAUCCAACCAGAAAGUCACGGCUAACUACGUGUCAGCAGCCGCGGUAAUCUGAGCGGGCUGGCAAGGC
rnacentral:rRNA from 1 species